AUUUGAGAUGGCAAAUUUUCCAACAAAAUUUACAUUCAAAGAAACAAGAAUAAAGCUUGUAACAUAUUACAACUUUUAAAUCAAAACUAUGAACUACAAAACCCAAAAGGAUUCACCAACUACUAGACCUAGGCUCUGAUACCACUUGAAGGAAAUAUUGUGAAAAACAUGUUCAUUUGAGCAACAUCUAUAGCAUGCAAUUAACAAUUAAAAGGCGGAAUCAUGCUUGCAUGCACUCAAAAACAAAACAUUAACCAUGAAAUUCAAAGCCUAGUAGAUUGGUGAACCAAGACUCAACUCAAAUCAAAG
rnacentral:lncRNA from 1 species